rnacentral:tRNA from 1 species
GCCUAGUUAGCUUGGUUGGUAGCGCGUCUGCCUUGUAAGAACUAGGCCGCGGGUUCGAUUCCCGCACGGGGCG